GCAGGGCGUGGUGGCAGGCGCCUGUAAUCCCAGCUACUCGGGAGGCUGAGGCAAGAGAAUCACUUUAACCCGGGAGGCGGAGGUUGCAGUGAGCUAAGAUUAUACCAUUACACUCCAGCCUGGGUGACAGAGUGAGACUUGGUCUCAAGAAAUUUUUUUCUUUUCUUUUUUUUUUUUUUUAGACAGAGUCUCUGUCUGUCACCCAGGCUGGAGUGCAGUGGUAUAAUCUUAGCUCACUGCAACCUCCGCCUCCCGGGUUAAAGUGAUUCUCUUGCCUCAG
rnacentral:SRP_RNA from 1 species